rnacentral:rRNA from 1 species
GCAUGUUCACAUGAUUAAAGGUAUUCCGGUAGACGAUGGGGAUGCGUUCCAUUAGAUAGUAGGCGGGGUAACGGCCCACCUAGUCUUCGAUGGAUAGGGGUUCUGAGAGGAAGGUCCCCCACAUUGGAACUGAGACACGGUCCAAACUCCUACGGGAGGCAGCAGUGAGGAAUAUUGGUCAAUGGGCGAGAGCCUGAACCAGCCAAGUAGCGUGAAGGAUGACUGCCCUAUGGGUUGUAAACUUCUUUUAUAAAGGAAUAAAGUCGGGUAUGCAUACCUGUUUGCAUGUACUUUACGAAUAAGGAUCGGCUAACUCCGUGCCAGCAGCCGCGGUAAUACGGAGGAUCCGAGCGUUAUCCGGAUUUAUUGGGUUUAAAGGGAGCGUAGAUGGAUGUUUAAGUCAGUUGUGAAAGUUUGCGGCUCAACCGUAAAAUUGCAGUUGAUACUGGAUAUCUUGAGUGCAGUUGAGGCAGGCGGAAUUCGUGGUGUAGCGGUGAAAUGCUUAGAUAUCACGAAGAACUCCGAUUGCGAAGGCAGCCUGCUAAGCUGCAACUGAUAUUGAGGCUCGAAAGUGUGGGUAUCAAACAGGAUUAGAUACCCUGGUAGUCCACACGGUAAACGAUGAAUACUCGCUGUUUGCGAUAUACAGCAAGCGGCC